rnacentral:rRNA from 1 species
UACGGCUAAAUCAUGUUGAAAUACCGGUUCCCGUACGAUCACCGAAGAUAAGCAACGUCAAACCUGAUCAGUACCUAGAUGGGUAACCGUUUGGGAAUACCAGGUGUUGUAA